GUAAAAAUUGCACUGCCUUUUCAAAUUGGUCCUGUAUUAUAUAAUGUCGAUACUGGUUAUUGGAAUCCCGCCCAGACGAUUCUCGUGGUUAGUAGCAGUGAAUAUAUGAAUAUAUAAUGUAACGCACGCUUCCGAGACAAAGGGAUAUAGAUUUUCAGAUAGUUCCAUUGUUUGAUUAUGCCAUGUUGAUUUUGUUGGUUGUCUUGCUUGGCGCUGCUGCCUCUGAGAACACAACUUACUCUCACCCAGUUGAAAUUGAUUUCUCAACCUCAGCACCUGUGAAUACCACUAAACCUACAACCGCGAGACUGGUCAUCGCACCAAAAAAGAGACAAGACCAGUCAGAUGAAACAGAAAAAAAGGAGCAGAUUACUCCCCAGCCAGUAAAACCCACAAUCUCUCUCACCAUGGAAGUCAAAAUGGAAGCUGUUAAUCUGAUAUGCACUUCAACUGGACCACCGUUUCUAAAAGGCUAUUGGAAAGUGGGUCAUCAUAGGAUAGAUAGAGUCACUGAACAACUUAGUGACACAGAAGGACUACAAACGCUGACUCUCACACUGAAACUUUUACCCUCGCAACUUCAGUACACAUACCACAAUGAGUAUUCUUGUCACGUGUCCAGCUUGCAGACUGAAGUCAUGGAAACGAUCAAAGUGCACGGGGACUGGUAUAACAAACACAGAACUGGCGGUGAUGAGUGUUCAAGAUGUGAAAUUGUCCCGUACAAGAACCAACCAAUCGAUUAUUACAUCGAUUAUGACAGCUACAAAGUUCACGAUACCGUUGGAUAUCGAGCCAAGAAAACAUUGACAGUGGCGAUAUCAGCUGUAUGUUUAUUCUUCUCUCUUGCACUGUGUGUCCAGUGUGGCGUAUUGGUUUUAAAAAAGAAGAAAGACGAAGAAGACGAAGAAGAACUAUCAGAAACUACUCAGGUGGAGAGACAAUUUGAGCGGAUUAAGUCAUUAAAUCUUCACAAUGAAAGUGCUAUCGCUCCUGAUUAUGCUGCGAUGAGAAAGAUGAGUUCAUUGAAGGGGUUGACCGUGGGAAAGCAGUAAAAAUAAAAGCGAAAAAACUGCUGAGAAAACACAGAAAAAGAAUGGAGGUACGAUACCAAACUAAGGAAAAGAUUUUACUCCAUCCUAGAAUAACAUAAAAUCAUUCACUCUCGACAAACUAUAUUUCUAUCGAUAUCAUGGUACAUGUAUUUUUUUGUCUAAUUUAAAGAUGUAACCAUUUCAGAUGAAUUAACAUUUAUCACGUAGCGAGGUGUUUAUUAAAACGGUGAAAAAAGUUUGAAUAUCAACAAAAAUAUUAUUUCUAGUACACGUUUAUUGUUUUAAAUCUAUAGUGAACUGCGUAAUUAAUCUAUUGAACAAACUUUCGGUUCGUUUUCAUCUUUUAAUUGCA